UGUUGGUGUGACGUAUAAUCUAGUGGAGGGAACGCUUCUUCGAGAACAACAACAGUUAGUAUAACACCUUGUUAGCGUGCUAGACAACAUCGCAGAAACAUUGAAGCCCUUCAGACCGUUUCAGUGUCUAUUUGCCACUGUGUUAUGAACACACUUCUGUCGUAUCUACUAGUUACCCCAUUUAAUGUAAUAUUUACGUUGUUAGUCAUCUAAUUUAGACUAGCCAUAAGCUAAUGCUAAUUAGCUAGCUAACAUCCCCGACCAUGAGCUCACUAAGCUACUCUCCUCCUGCUGAAGAAGAGGUCUGCUGGACAGAGAAAGAAGCUCUUUGGUUGAACGUUGUUGUGAAAGAAGAGAAGAUACGUUCGGAGUGAAAGAGGACGAGGAGGAUGUUGCAGUUUUUGGAUUGAAGGAGUUGGAGAUCUGUUUAACCAGAAUGGCUGAAGUUUUUGUUCGUUCCAGUUUUUGGAUUGAAGGAGGAGGAAGAAGAGGAGACUGAAGAUCUGAUUAACACCAGUAAGUACAGUCUUAAACAGAACGUUAACAAUGGAUCAAUGCAUCCAGUCUAGAGGCGAAAGAAACGCCUGUUUAGGAGAGAUGCUGGCUAGCGGAGUAGAACACCUGUUUAGGAGAGGUGCUGGCUAGCGGAGUAGAACACCUGUUUAGGAGAGGUGCUGGCUAGCGGAGUAGAACACCUGUUUAGGAGAGGUGCUGGCUAGCGGAGUAGAACACCUGUUUAGGAGAGGUGCUGGCUAGCGGAGUAGAACACCUGUUUAGGAGAGGUGCUGGCUAGCGGAGUAGAACACCUGUUUAGGAGAGGUGCUGGCUAGCGGAGUAGAACACCUGUUUAGGAGAGGUGCUGGCUAGCGGAGUAGAACACCUGUUUAGGAGAGGUGCUGGCUAGCGGAGUAGAACACCUGUUUAGGAGAGGUGCUGGCUAGCGGAGUAGAACACCUGUUUAGGAGAGGUGCUGGCUAGCGGAGUAGAACACCUGUUUAGGAGAGGUGCUGGCUAGCGGAGUAGAACACCUGUUUAGGAGAGGUGCUGGCUAGCGGAGUAGAACACCUGUUUAGGAGAGGUGCUGGCUAGCGGAGUAGAACACCUGUUUAGGAGAGGUGCUGGCUAGCGGAGUAGAACACCUGUUUAGGAGAGGUGCUGGCUAGCGGAGUAGAACACCUGUUUAGGAGAGGUGCUGGCUGGCAGAGUAGAACACCUGUUUAGGAGAGGUGCUGGCUGGCAGAGUAGAACACCUGUUUAGGAGAGGUGCUGGCUGGCAGAGUAGAACACCUGUUUAGGAGAGGUGCUGGCUAGCAGAGUAGAACACCUGUUUAGGAGAGGUGCUGGCUAGCAGAGUAGAACACCUGUUUAGGAGAGGUGCUGGCUAGCAGAGUAGAACACCUGUUUAGGAGAGGUGCUGGCUAGCAGAGUAGAACACCUGUUUAGGAGAGAAAGCAAUGCAGGUGUAGAAGCACGGUGGCUAGGAAAAACUCCCUGGAAAGGCCAAAACCUAGGAAGAAACCUAGAGAGGAACCAGGCUGUGAGGGGUGGCCAGUCCUCUUCUGGCUGUGCCGGGUGGAGAUUAUAACAGAACAUGGCCAAGAUGUUCAAAUUUUCAAAAAUUACCAGCAUGGUCAAAUAAUAAUAAUCACAGUGGUUGUUGAGGGUGCAACAGGUCAGCACCUCAGAAGUAAAUGUCAGUUGGCUUUUCUUAGCCGAUCAUUGAGAGUAUCUCUACCGCGCCUGCUGUCUCUAGAGAGUUGGAAACAGCAGGUCUGGGACAGGCAGCACGUCCGGUGAGCACCUGUUUAGGAGAGGUGCUGGCUAGCGGAGUAGGAUCAUUUGAGGAACUAGCCAUCGUUCACACAUACAAUAGCCUGCUAAUACCUUAGCUAGCUUUUAACCACAUGUUGAAUUCAGAAUGUUGAUAUCAUCCUAAAAAGUACAAUUACAAGUGUAUCUUAACAAUACCAUCCACUUAUACUUAUAAGUAACCUCUAAAUAUACAACAUUAUUCAUGAACAAAACACUGUGUAUGACUUUGUGCUUAAAAUAAUCAAACUUUUCUGAAGAUGACAGAUAAAGCGUACCCUGUAACUGGAGAUUCCUUCAAAGCGAUUGCCUACAGUUACCGUGUAGGGCACUGCAAGGUUGGGUCACCAGGGUCAUCUGGAACUGCCUUCUGGCGGAAUUCAGGUGUGUGAAGGCUACCUGUGUCCUGCGUAACUUCAUGAGGAUGGACACGAGGACCAGGAGGGGAUCUGCAGAUUGCCGCCGUGUCCCAGAGGAGAAGUCUGCUGCUCUGCAGGAUGUUUCAAGGAUGGGGUCCAACAACGCAGCAAGAGAGGCAAUCCGUGUGCAGGAGAUCUUCAACCCCUACUUCUUCAAAGAGGGUGCUGUUCCCUGGCAACACCAUAGACUACACUAUGCACAACCAAAGGCUCUUUUAAGAGCCAUUCACAUUGCAAUAGGAGUAUUCUUCCAUUUACUUAGCUAUGUCAACUGCAGUUAUUCAAUUCAUAGUUUCUCUCCCUUUGAUUUAUACUUCUCAGGUGAGGGUGCUGUUUAGGUAAGGGUGUGAUGUCUGUGCAAAAACAAAACAGGCUAUUUUAAAUCACCCAUAUUGAAGAAAUGUAGAGCAAUUAGACACCCUAUAACCCACACCUACACACUCAUGUAUCAAUCUGAUUGAUGGAUUGUGUUGUGCCGUAAGCAGGUUCAGGUGUAUAACUGUGGCUCCUUCCACCUUCAAAGAAUAGGCAAGAGGGCCAACCAUGGAGAAUAUUAAGACACUUCAUUAUUUCUAUGACUACGCUAUAUUGUUUGUCUUUGUGUGUCCGUUCAUGUUUUUCAGCAUAAAGUACUCUGCAGCCACUUAGUGUGGUGUGGACACCAGGUGAGGCCACACACAGAUUCCUGUUUAACACUGUCACUUUAACAACCUUAUUUUCUCAAUAAGUCUCUCUCCUUCACUUCAUCCCUCUCUCCCCUUCUCCCUAAAUCCUCUAGGUUAUAUAAGCUGUGUCGGUGAACCCCUCCUGCAUCUGAACUGGCUACAUAGAGGGCACAGCAUGAUCAGAGACAUGUUUUGAUGUGAGAGGAUGCCAACCCACAGUCCCAUCAUCGCCACCUCACCUGCUUUUAAGAUAACAGUGUCUCUAGUCGGCCCAAAGGUUAUGUAAUUGUGAUGAACUGAGAGAAUAUUUAGGUAGCACUGUGAUUCAUUAAUCAUGUGCUUACCUCUUUCCCUUUCUGUCUUUUACACCUCUCUCUCCACCUCCUCUUUCUUCCUCUGUUUUUAUAAUGCACAACAGAUGUGCAUUGAAAUACAGAAUUGAACUUGUAUAUAUUACACUUGGAUAAUGAGCUUUUCAAUAAAGCGUUUCACAUUCUCUACUGGUUGAAAUGAAGUGUAAUGUGAUGAAAUACUCCACCUAUCCUGUGUUUAUCAGAUCAAUGCAGAUGAAGGGCAUUAGAUGUUGAGAUGAACCAGUGUUGGAGUAUUUACAUGAUGCAUAGGAAGUGUAGUGUAGUUUUUUAAAUUCUAUUUCUGUAUAUAUGAAUUAACUAGUUAAAUCCUGUUUCUAGUCUAUUAGUUACAAUGUGUAACCAUUGAUGUCCCAGGACCAAGAUUGGUAAACACUGUUGACGUGUAUAAUUGUAAUACAUACAUGCAGACACAGCGUCAUUUAAAGACUGGAAUUUGAAUCUCCUGAAAAAUAAUCUCAAAGACAUUCAUACUUAAACUGCACAUUUAUUUGCCAAGGUAGAGUACAUGAUCAGUGAAUAUAUUAAAUGUACAGGCUACAAUGCGGUGAUCUCAUGCAUGGUAAUAACUACAUGUAUAUACCACUUGCAUCCUUGGUACAACAUGAUAUUAUAUUCUACUCAAUCCAUAGGCUUCAUUAAUGUCAUUCAGGCGGUUUUGAAGUUGAUACAACUGGCUAUGAUAGAUGAGGUUCAUAGCUAGGUUCUGAACUGUGAACGCUGCGUGUAACACAUCCGGUGUCAGGAUAAAUAAAAUGCAUGGUCUGCUAACUUUCUUUAAUUAUGUUUAAUUACCGCAAACAAUGAAUGGCAAAUGCAAUUUUCGUAUAUACGGGUUCGCUGUUUCACCGCGCAGGAUGAACAGGGAACUGGCAAGAAGUACGUAAACAGCUGUUCUUAUACCGUGAUGACGUCGUUUCAACGCGUCUGUUGGCCUAUCACAUUAGAGGCUGGGCCUGGUUUAGACUCUGCCCCCCUUUGCUGGCCCCUUGGUGCGUUCCUUUGUCCACCUCUGGUUGCUGGGUAGAUUAGCUCCGUCUUGGGUCUGUCGAUUCUACACUAAACAGUUCCUAAUAUGGUAUUGUCCAGUAUUCUAACCUCUUGGUUGGUCUAGAGAGCUGCACCCUUCCCCUCUCCAGACUGUCCACAACUUUUAUGGCCUGUGUUGGUCAGUCCUUACACCUACACACACUAUACAGAGGGGGGUGUGCGUACAUGUGUGUAACAAAACAAUAUUCCUCUUCAACCAAUAUGCUAACAGGCUAUUAUGCAUAAAACAUAAAUCCUAACAGAACUAAUAUGUAUAGCAAACGUUUGGGUCCAUACACAGAUCGGCUAGAUAGCUAGCUACACAUCCAUGGGCAUACAGGGAUUUUAAUCAUCCACUGCACAAGAAGCAAGAACACAGCUAGCUACGCGAUUUCAUCUAUCUGCAUGGCAAAUAUCAGCAAGGAAAGCUUACAAAAUUGUCCAUUCAAUUUGCAGCAAAACGACAGCCUGGUUUGCUGGUUGUUUCAGGAUUCCCUAAAACAACCAGAAUUACAAUUUCAUACUCAUGUCACAACACCCAUAAAGCUAGUCAGCUAGCUGGCUAAUGUUAGCUAGUCAGCUAGCUGGCUAAAUCGCGAUUUUCAAAAAUAAACUUUGAUAAAAAAAAUGUAGAAUCGUUUGUUUCUACAUUAACUAACAUUCCUGUCAACUGUACAUGUUUUUGCAUGAUUCAUUAUGACGUUAUUAUCCCUUACAUUUGCUUCCAUUCUAGUAUUUCUGUACGCCAUCUUUAAUCCAGUUAAAUUCUGUGUAGGGCUACCCCUCUCUCCUAGUAUUUCUGUCCGCCAUCUUUGAUCCACUUCAGUUCUGUGUAGGGUUACCCCUCUCUCCUAGUAUUUCUGUCAGCCAUCUUUGAUCCAGUUCAGUUCUGUGUAGGGUUACCCCUAGUAUUUCUGUCCGCAAUCUUUGAUGCAGUUCAGUUCUGUGUAGGGUUUCUCCUCUCUCCUAGUAUUUCUGUCCGCCAUCUUUGCUGAAGAAAGUCUAACAGUCACUAGCGCAGCAGCAGCCUCCCCCGGUCCUAGUGCCGCCCCCGUAAGAAGUUUAAGAUGCGAUGGAAAGGUUGACGAAAUAAGAAAUCACAGAAAAAAUAUAUUGACUGAUAUUGAUUUAUUUAGGGGGGGCUAAUUAAUAUUUUAGUUCUAGUGACGUCCCUGAUUCCUACCCUUUAAUUCUUUGUCUGAAAAUUACAUUUACAUUUUACUUAACUGCGUUGCCCACUCCAGUCAGCAGAAAAGGUCUGCGACUUUAAGGCAAUUCUGCUACUGUGACGUAUAAUCUAGUGGACGGGUCGCUUCUUUCAACAGCAGCAACAGACAGCCACCUCUGUAGCUUCCUAGACAAAAUAAACGAACCAAUAAAGCUCUUUAGACGCUUUAGUGUAUAGUUGCCACUGUAUUUUCAAACCACUUCUGUCGCCUAGUUAUCCGUUUUCAUUUCAUAUUUACGGUAUUGUUUUUAUUAUUCAUCUAGCGGGCUGGUUAAGUUAACAUUAGCCUAGCUAGCUAACAUCUCCAACCAUGAGGUCACUAAGCUACUCUUGUUAAUGAAUAGGAGGUCUGCUGGACGGAGAUAGAAGCUCUCGUCAAAGAGGAGAAGGAAUAGAAUGAUAUCACAGUAAAACAAGAAGUAGAGGGUGAGGCUGUUACAGUGAAAGAAGAAGAGAAAUAGGUUACAGUGAAAGAAGAGGAAGAGGCGUUCAGAUUGGAAGAGGAUGUUACAGUUAAAGAAGAGAAAGAGGAUGCAGUUUUUGGAGUGAAAGAGGGGGAGGGGGAGAUGACUUUCACAUUGAAAAAUGAGAUGGAAGAAGAGGAGGAAACUGGAUUUCUGGGCUCGGUUUCCCAAACGCAUUUUAAGGCAUCCAUUGGUUCUAACGAUGAACGGGCCCUGGUUAACACAAGAGAGAUACGGGACUAUCGUGGAUCCUCUGGGGAGCCUCAACAACCUCAUGAUGCUGACGAGGCAGAGAAGAGUCUCUCCAGAUCAGAACUCCUCAAGAAACACCUGCAGAGACCCACAGGGAAGAGAACUCACUACUGCUCUGACUGUGGGAAGAGAUUCACCUCAUCAGGCAUUAAAAUUCAUCAGAGAACACACACAGGAGAGAAACCUUAUAGCUGUGAUCAAUGUGGGAAGGGUUUUGGUCGAUCUGGAGAACUGACAGUGCCCCAGAGAAUACACACAGGAGAGAAAUCUUAUAGCUGUGACCAGAGAUAAUCUGAUAAAAGAUCUCUGACUAAACAUCAGAAAAUACAUGAAGGAGUUGUUUCAUGAUAUCAAAUAAAUGAUGUCACAAUGUAGAAUGUUUUUAACAUUGUAGUAGGAGUAUUUUAAUGAUGUCACGAUGUAGAACACUAAACGUUUGUCCCCUGUUCUAUUGAUUUCAACAUGAUAUGGAUAUUAGCCUCAGGGGAAAAAUCCAGGCUCUGAAUUGAAAGAGUACUAUUUAUGAGAUUUAGUAAGUACACAUUAUUCCCAGAUUCCGUGUGGUUUUUGAGCUGUUAGUUUUAACAGGAUGUGCAACCUCAUCUCCCUCCUGUCGCACAAAUUAUUUUAGCAUGAUAUCGAUUAGUUUUGACAACUAAGUGUUGCGUCCCUUUCUUUAGCGACCCCUACAUUUAAAUGCAUUCCAGCAUCACGUACAACCUGAUUUCCCCUCUAAUUGAUAUCAGUGAUUUAUUGCUACUUGUCAAAACAACAGCGUUUCUGGUGCUUGUGCAGUUUAUAAGGAGCUUGUUUAAAAAAAAUACAAGAAAAAUGAUUAUUGUGGCAGAUGUUUGUGUAAAUGGCACAUGUUAUGUUUAGGUUUUCAAUUUAUCCCAAACUGUUUCUGCAUAUUGGUUAUUGAUUUGGACACGUUAAAACUGUGUUUUGACAUUCAGGCUAUCCCACCUAGCACAAUGUAAUUGAAAAGACGUUGAAAAUAAGACUAUGCAAUCAAAAAAAAAAUAUAUAUAUAUAUUUUAUUAUACCAUGCCUUACCAUUAAGUUAAUUAUUGACAAUACAUAUUAACAAAGGGGUGUCCAUUUGGUUUUGAUCAUUCAUAUUUACAAUUCAUGUAACUUUUAGUAAUCAUAAUUAUUUAUGCAAUCAACUGACAAUUUUCGGGUAUAAUUAUAUUGACAUUGUUGCCCUUCUUUUAGAAAAGCAGGGUUAAUUCUCAGAUGUGCCAACCCAAAUGUACUAGAGCAUGACAUUGGGGACUGGGCCCCGAUCCAACAACAUGCCUAUCUAGUGAACCCUGAAAAGAGAGAGAAACUCCGCAGUGAGGUGGAAAGUUACUACGGAUAGUGCAGGAGUUUCCUCUUGAAAUCAGACAUGUCCGUGUUAAGGACAACUUUGUUGCUGAUUUUCUCAGGGGUGGGCAGUCAUAGUUUUGCGUUUAGCCAUUGCCUUGCCAUGGAUCACAAUUUAUUUUGACUGCACGUUUGCCAUAUUGGAGAUGAGUUUUGUUUGGGCUCGUUCCAAGGGGACGAGAGUUCUAGAAGCGAGUGAGUUUUAGGAAGACGAGAGUUCUAGAAGCUAGUGAGUUUUAGGAAGAAGAGAGUUCUAGAAGCUGGUGAGUUUUAGGAAGAGGAGAGUUCUAGAAGCUAUUGAGUUUUAAGAUUCUAUAGAAUGAAAAAGGAGAAAAAAAUUAUACGAUUGUAUAUUAUUAUUUAGAAAUAUGUGUUUUUUCUUGUUUUUAAUUGUUGACAGCCAGUAGACAUCAUUUUUAUAUUGUAGAAGGUGAAGCAUUGUAGUUGAUUAUAAUGAGAAAUGGAAGUUGUUUUCUGUUGGUGGUGAGCAAACUUGUCCAACAAAAAUAUAGGAUAUAUUUGUUGUCUUAUUAAGGGGAAAGGUGUUCCAGGCUUUCGUUUUUCCAUUUAUGUUUUGAGGUUGGACUUUAGCACGUCUAGCUCGUUAGCACGUAGGACGCACUGAUUGGUGUCACCUCGUUAGUCAGUAUGUGUUACACCUGUGAUGGCUUGUCCAUCUCCUUAGUGGGAAGGUGUUUCACCUGAGCUGGUCCAGGUUCUAUUUAAGAGUGUCUGGUCCAGUGCUCCAGUUGUCUUGAUAGAUGUGGAGAGUCAACACCUUUAGUUGCUCCACCUUUUUGGUUUGCUUCCUGUCUUUAAGUUUGUUGUGGGUUUUUCUUUUGUUUGCCUCUUCUUGGGCAGAUUUAGUGGGUCUCAUGGUGGGUGUCUUUUAGGUCCCAGUUGUUGUUACUAAUCAACUUUCAGUGGACUCCCCCAUAGUGUCUAUCAGAACCCCUCCUAAAAAACAAGUUAUAUUUUGGGUUGGAUAUUGCAUCCUAUUAAUAUUUUAAUCAAUGGCAUUUCCUUUCAAUGCUCAUUAAUCUUUCAGUUUAGUUGUCAGUUAUUAUGUUUUUAUCCUCUUUGUGUAGUAAAUAUUUGUUAAUUUUCAUUGUUUUUUCCUGUGAUCAUGUCUGAAAUGUGCUGUAUAAAUAAAGCUUGAUUUGAUUUAAACAUA